CCGACUAAUCCUUUUAUAAAUAUGGAUACGUAAGCCAAUUCUCCUCAUUCAUUCCAAGCUACUCUUCACCUCCCCACUAAAAAAAAUAAUGGCAGGAUCCAUGAAAUUGAUGUCCACUUUAUGCCUUCUUCUAAUGCUCAUCUUUGCUACUGGAAUAUGGAAAUGACGAGCGGUUUGCAAGAAUUGGAAACUAAAAUCGAAGAGAUACAAUUUGAUAAUAUACAGUUCAGUUAUGAUGAGUUGGAAUUUUUGUUUAUUCUAACAAGAUCGAGGAAUUUGGAAUAUUUGCAUAGACAAUGGUAACAGAGGGAAGGGAAUGUGAGAAGCAGAGCCCACGCUAUUAUGGAACAUGCUUUGCUAACAAUGCUAAUAUGAACAGCAACUGUAAUUCUAUUUGUCAAUGUGAUGGUUUCGACCGUGAUUUUUGCCGUCUUACUAAA